GCUGUUUCUGGCGAUGAUUUUGCUCCCAAGGCACUGGAGACAGGAGGGCGUUUUGGGCUAGAGCCAAAGCAGGGUUGCUGAGCCUUCCAAAAGAUGGAAGAUGCUCUUUUGGAAGAUGCUGCUUCCAGGAUGCUGC
rnacentral:lncRNA from 1 species